rnacentral:tRNA from 1 species
GGUCGCUUAGCUCAGUUGGUUAGAGCGUGGUGCUAAUAGCUUUAUAAAACCUUGAUACGCCAAGGUCGCGAGUUCGACCCUCGUAGUGACCA